rnacentral:rRNA from 1 species
GACGAACGCUGGCGGCGUGCUUAACACAUGCAAGUCGAACGAAAAGAGGGAAAGAGCUUGCUCUUUCCGGAAUUGAGUGGCAAACGGGUGAGUAACACGUAAACAACCUGCCUUCAGGAUGGGGACAACAGACGGAAACGACUGCUAAUACCGAAUAAGUUCCAAGAGCCGCAUGGCCCAUGGAAGAAAAGGUGGCCUCUACCUGUAAGCUAUCGCCUGAAGAGGGGUUUGCGUCUGAUUAGCUGGUUGGAGGGGUAACGGCCCACCAAGGCGACGAUCAGUAGGCGGUCUGAGAGGAUGAACGGCCACACUGGAACUGAGACACGGUCCAGACUCCUACGGGAGGCAGCAGUGGGGAAUCUUCCGCAAUGGGCGAAAGCCUGACGGAGCAACGCCGCGUGAGUGAUGACGGCCUUCGGGUUGUAAAACUCUGUGAUCCGGGACGAAAAGGCAGAGUGCGAAGAACAAACUGCAUUGACGGUACCGGAAAAGCAAGCCACGGCUAACUACGUG